GUACCUGGUAGCGAAAUGGAUUGCGCGUUGGAAUUUUGAUCCAAAGGUCGUGGAUUCCAAUCCCACCUAGGAUG